ensembl:lncRNA
GGAGGAGGCCAGCUCUCUUUCCACUUCCCUGAGGAUGCAGGUGUCAGCCACUCUGAGGUUCAGUGGGAGCAGGACAAGAAGGAAGGCAGGGGUCUUAGUGGAACAGCAAAGAUUUAGUAUCCCUUCAAGAAAGUGGCUAUGAGGGCAAUGGGCAUCAAGGUUGGAUGGUGGCAGAUGGCCACCCAUGGUGGCCUAGUGACAGAAGGACAUGGAGAGGGAUGCAUGGAACCAGGGGUCAAGGUUUUGAACCCAGUUGCUGGCUGGUGGAGGCUGGAAUAUUCUUGGAAAUAAGGUUGCCCGUUUUGAUCAUUCGUGUUCAUGACUCAAUCUUUCCUCCUCCACACGGCCGCAGCAGACUGUUCGUGACCUUCUGCAAACAGAACACGCUUGCUGCUGCUCAGAGAUCCUGGGUCUCAGCCCUAGAUUCCAGGAAGCAAACAUGACUGACCCUGAGUGCCACAGGCCUGGCCAGACUAGGUCUUCUAUAACUCUGAGGAUGAGAAUGACCUGGCUGAGGAUGACCGUGGGCAGCUGAUCUCCGUGCCUCUACUUCCUGUAUGCUGGAAUUACAAAUAUGUGCCACCAUGCCCUAUUUAUGUGGUGCUCAGUGUGGAACCCAGGGAUUUGUGAGAGCUGGGCAAACAUUUGGUCAGCUGCUCUCCCACCCCCAGAAUCUUUCCUAAGCGGUAUACUCUUCCUAUGUGCUAAAAUGAAAUAAGGAGAAGCCCAUCUCCUCACCCACCCCUGGUGUGUGUGUGUGUGUAUGUGUGUGAGUGUGCAUAUAUGUGUGAGUGAGUGUGCGUGUGUGUGUGUGUGUGUGUGUAUGUGUGUGAGUGUGCAUGUAUGUGUGAGUGAGUGUGCGUGUGUGUGUGUGUGUAUGUGUGUGAGUGUGCAUGUAUGUGUGAGUGAGUGUGCGUGUGUGUGCGUGUGUGUGUGUGUGUGUGUGUGUGUGUGUGUGUGAUGUCGGGAAUCAUCCUUUAUCACUUUCCCACUUUACUCUAUGAGGCAUGGUCCCUCAAUCAAACUCAGAGCACAUCAAUAAGACUAAUCUUGCCAGGGGGUGUGCUCUGGAGAUCCCGUCUCUGCCUCCCACGGCUGGAAUUGCAGGUAAGAUGUCGCUACCUGGGUUCCGGGGAUUCAAACUCCUAACUCCACUUCUUACACUUGUGCAGCAAGCACUUUAACCAUAGAGCCAUCUCCCCAGCCCCAGAAGGGAUGGUUCUAAGUGUCAUCUCUGACCUGACCCAUUGGCAGAAGGCUCCUUCCAGUGAGCAGGCCUGUCUGGUGGCUGCCUCAUGCACAUGAAGGGAGCUGGGAGCUCUGCUAGGAACUCAGGACCAAGGACGGUUAGGUUGGGCUCCUGGGUCCUCAGCCUUCAUUGUUUGAGGAUGGGGUGCUGUCUGGGUGGGUGCUGUGGGCUGAGCCAGCUGUGAGAUCUGGUAAAUGAGCUGGGCAAACAGAGUAAUGAGGGUGGUGGUGGUGGGGCAGGAAGAUUGGACAAACAAGAGCUGGUUCCCAGGGAUCUUAGCUGAGGCAGACAGCUUACCAGGCUAAAUUACUUCUUCUAAAUCCAAGGUCACAAACCACAAGGCAAGGAGUCCUACUCCAAUGAGUGUCAAGAACAGAUGACAGAGAUGAAACUAAGUACUGGGAAGAGGUCGUGUGACUCCUAAUGGUGUCCCUUUGACUGUGGCUUCUGAUGGAAGAGGAAACAGAACCUUUGUUGGAUCUCUAAAUUUGAGUUCAAGUUCACCAGUGAAUUCGCCAUGGAAUCCUGGAAGAGACUUGUAGCCUCCCUGGGUCACAGUCCCUUUGUCUUUGUGAUGGGGAUGACAUGUGUCCUCUAUGUCCUGAGAAGUGUUGGGAAGAGAGGGGGUAGACAGAUGGGACCUGUGUGAGCAGUGAUGAUGGAGGGUGAUACAGAAGGGUGACUGUAAAUCAGGCGUCCAGGCUGGGGUUGGUGAUACCAAUAGUGUGAUGGGAAGAAAAUUCUAGAAUGGUGUCUCUACAAAUUUCUUCAUCUGUGGGCACUGGAAACCUUGACCUUGUACUGUUUUAGAGAGCUGUCAACAACAUCACGAUGGCAGCAGCUUUUGCCUGCCCUUCCCCCAUUCCAUUGGGCUGUCUGGUUCUCAGAAUUGGCUGGACCUGCGCCAGGUGGGCCUGACACCAGUGUGCUGUCUGAGACUGCUGGCGACCAGACUCCAAGCUGAGCCUCCUAGGGAACCCCCAGCCUGCUCGAGGCAAUAUGGCUUCUGGGGAAUGUGAGGAGCUUGAGAGGAAUCAGAGUUGGUCAAUGAUAUUUCCUAGCUCCAUGACUGCCACUGUACAGUUGCCUCACACACUACGCUUUGAAACUGCCUUUGCUUUCGGUCAUUGUCCCAUUAAAAAUAUUUGCCAAGAGCUAACAUGGCCUCUGUACCGCUUGCAACCUAGUGAAUAAAUAAACAUG